ACAGUUCCAACAGAGAGUUCGCCCUGCAAGCACAAUUUGGAAUGAAUUGUAGAGAGCCAGACAGAGUUGCAUAACUUUGGCAUAAGAAGAAUCGGGGGAAGACAGUUGAAGAAAAGAGAGAUGAUGGGGGCAUAGGGGGUGCUCCAAUUUUACAAGUCAGCUUUUCAACGCAUUGUUAAUAGUUUAUUAUUUUACCCCUUCAGAAAAACAAUGUAAAAAGGGAAAGAGGGUGGGG
rnacentral:misc_RNA from 1 species